rnacentral:snoRNA from 1 species
UGAAUCUGAGAGAUGAAACCAUUCACGGAUGUAAACGAGCCAUUGGCUCGCAAGUCCGAGAGCGCAUAACCUCGUGUGGAUAUCCCGUUGCCUUCCUUCUGACGUCUAUC